UACGAAGGGGGCUAGCGUUGUUCGGAUUUACUGGGCGUAAAGCGCACGUAGGCGGAUCGUUAAGUCGGGGGUGAAAUCCUGGAGCUCAACUCCAGAACUGCCUUCGAUACUGGCGAUCUAGAGUCCGGAAGAGGUGAGUGGAACUCCUAGUGUAGAGGUGGAAUUCGUAGAUAUUAGGAAGAACACCAGUGGCGAAGGCGGCUCACUGGUCCGGUACUGACGCUGAGGUGCGAAAGCGUGGGAGCAAACAGG
rnacentral:rRNA from 1 species